rnacentral:lncRNA from 1 species
CCAGUUUCAGCUCCAACCGUCUCACCACCGCCUGCACCUGCCUCUCCCCCACCGGCGUCACCACCUGCACCAACUUCUCCACCACCAGCACCAGCCUCACCCCCUCCAGCGCUUACGCCAAUAACUCUACCACCAGCACCAGCUCCUGCUAAGCACAAGAAAAAGCACAAACACAAGAGGCAUCACCAUGCCCCAGCUCCAGCACCAACUCCUCCAAGCCCUCCAUCUCCUCCAGUUCUAACAGAUUCCCAGGACACUGCUCCAGCACCAUCACCUUUCCAGAACGCG